rnacentral:rRNA from 1 species
AGGCUGCCAUGCGCGCAGCUGAUCAGCAUGCCGCGUGAGUGUGAAGGCCUUCGGGUUGUAAAGCUCUUUUGUCAGGGAAGAAACUGCCGGGGCUAAUAUCCUUGGCUAAUGACCGUUCCUGGCGAAUAAGCACCGGCUUACUUCGUGCCAGCAGCCGCGGUAAUUA